rnacentral:sRNA from 1 species
CAACGCUAUGUAGUUACUAUAACUUGUGAGGCUUUCACAAUGUCAGUUCCAGCGACACAGAACCAACCAGAAAGUAGCUAUGACUUACCAUACAUCAACUAUAAAAUUGAACAGUACCCACUUCCGGCAUCGGUGCUUGAACAAGCCGGCGACUUUCAACCAUCUUGUGCUAAAAACCGGAAUGCUGAAAUCAAGUGUUCGACUCGAGAUAGAUUAUAAAUGAAACCGCUCUUUUGAAAUGGUCUUAAGUUCUAUGACUGAAAUAUUCUAAUUCAUUUGAAAGAUAAUUAAAAAAUUAUAAGAACUCAGA